GACGAACGCUGGCGGCGUGCUUAACACAUGCAAGUCGAACGGAAAGGCCCUGCUUUCGUGCGGUGCUCGAGGGGCGAACGGGUGAGUAACACGUGAGUAACCUGCCCUUCACUUUGGGAUAACUUCAGGAAACUGGGGCUAAUACCGGACAGGAGCUCCCGCUGCAUGGUGGGGGUUGGAAAGUUUCGGCGGUUGGGGAUGGACUCGCGGCUUAUCAGCUUGUUGGUGGGGUAGUGGCUUACCAAGGCUUUGACGGGUAGCCGGCCUGAGAGGGUGACCGGCCACAUGGGGACUGCGAUACGGCCCAGACUCCUACGGUAGGCAGCGGUGGGGAGUAUUGCACAAUGAGCGGAAGCCUGAUGCGGCAACGCCGCGUGCGGGAUGACGGCCUGCGGGUUGUAAACCGCAUUCGCCUGUGACGAAGCGUGAGUGACGGUAAUGGGUAAAGAAGCACCGGCUAACUACGUG
rnacentral:rRNA from 1 species